rnacentral:rRNA from 1 species
AUGCAAGUCGUACGAGGGCUUUUAGCCCUAGUGGCGGACGGGUGAGUAACACGUGAGAAUCUGCCCUUAGGAGGAGGAUAACAGCUGGAAACGGUUGCUAAUACUCCAUAUGCCGAGAGGUGAAAGGAAUUUCUGCCUAAGGAGGAGCUCGCGUCUGAUUAGCUAGUUGGCAGGGUAAAGGCCUACCAAGGCGACGAUCAGUAGCUGGUUUGAGAGGAUGAUCAGCCACACUGGGACUGAGACACGGCCCAGACUCCUACGGGAGGCAGCAGUAGGGAAUUUUCCGCAAUGGGCGAAAGCCUGACGGAGCAAUACCGCGUGAGGGAUGACGGCCUGUGGGUUGUAAACCUCUUUUCUCAAGGAAGAAGUUCUGACGGUACUUGAGGAAUAAGCAUCGGCUAACUCUGUGCCAGCAGCCGCGGUAAUACAGAGGAUGCAAGCGUUAUCCGGAAUCACUGGGCAUAAAGCGUCUGUAGGUGGUUUGGUAAGUCUGCUGUUAAAGACUGGGGCUCAACCCCAGAAAAGCAGUGGAAACUGCCAGACUUGAGUGUGGUAGAGGUAAAGGGAAUUCCUAGUGUAGCGGUGAAAUGCGUAGAUAUUAGGAAGAACACCAAUGGCGAAGGCACUUUACUGGGCCAUAACUGACACUGAGAGACGACAGCUAGGGGAGCAAAUGGGAUUAGAUACCCCAGUAGUCCUAGCCGUAAACGAUGGAUACUAGAUGUUGCACGUAUUAACCCGUGCAGUAUCGUAGCUAAGGCGUU